rnacentral:lncRNA from 1 species
UAAAGCCUUAUUUACUUUAACAAACUACUAAAAUAGGUAUUUUUGUAAGAGCAUAGAAAGCAGCUUUACACUUUAUUGACUGACUGAUACAUUCAUCCUUCCAUCCCUCCUCAGCCUUCCUCUCCUCUGAAGACCCACUGAGGGUGGAGCUCAGUCAGAGAGCUGUUGAGGGACUGGUUAGGAAGAACACUUCUACAGCCAGAGAGGGGCAGUCAAAAGCAGAGCUGUGGGAGACCACCUCAAUCCCCUGGUAGAGCCGGAGGUGGUGUUUACCACUCCACCACACCUGCAGCAGGCUUGAAACGUGGGAUUGAUACUGAUUUUCAUACUAAGAGGGACCAAGAGUCUGUUGAUUGGUCAGUCAUUGGGUUCAUUUGUUGAAAUCAAAUCCAGCUUUAUUUAUACAGCACAUUUCAGACAUGGAUGCAACACAAUGGCUUCACAGGAAAAAACAAGUAAAGUAAUGAAAAGAAACAGAAAUAUUUAGUACACAACAAACAGAAGACUAACAACUGAAUGGGCACCCCAAGGAAAUGCCAUGGAUUAAAAUAUUAAUUGGAUGCAAUAUCCAACCCAAAAUACAAGCUUGUUGUUUUUUUAGGAGGGGCUCUGAAAGACUAUGGGAGUGUCCACUGAAUCUUGACAAGUAACAACAACUGGGACCGAAAAGACACCCACUAAAUCUGUCCAUGAAGAGGCAAACAAAAGAAAAACCCACAACAAACUUAGACAGGACGCAACCAAAAAGGUGGUUAAAAUAAUUUAUUACAAUCAAUACCAUUCAUACUAUUACAAAAUCAUAAUUCUCAUUCAUUCUUAAUUAAUUAUAUUUACAAAAACAUCAAACAAAAACAAACCUCAGGGGAGCAUCGUCCCUCCCCGUCAUACCUAACCAAUACCUAACCCUUUCCCUAUCUCCCCUUCCCUAAUCUAUCCCCUUMCCAAACUCACUCUAACACUCCCAGCCCUAAACCCCCUUUCCACCUCUCCCGUGCCGCAUGCUUCCCCCACUUCCUCUCCUCCCUCUUCAUCUUCCCCCUCAAAUCACC